rnacentral:rRNA from 1 species
GACUAACGCUGUCCCGCCUGCUUAGGCUGGCUCCUCUAACGGUGAUGGACAGCUUGCUCUCCGGAUCAGUGGCGAACGGUGUGAGUAACAGGUGAGUAACCUGCCCCUGACUCUGGGAUAAGCGUUGUGAAACAACGUCUAAUACCGGAUAUGACUUAUUGACGCAUGUUCUGUGGGUGGAAAGAUUUCACGGUUGGGGAUGGACUCGCGGCCUAUCAGCUUGUUGGUGAGGUAAUGGCUCACCAAGGCGACGACGGGUAGCCGGCCUGACAGGGUGACCGGCCACACUGGAACUGACACAAUCCCCACAUUCCUACGGGAGGCAGCCGUGGGGAAUAUUGCACAAUGGGCGCGAGCGUGAUGCACCAACGCCGCGGGAUGGACGACGGCCUUCGGGUUGUAAACCUCUUUUGGAAGGGAAGAGACGAAAGUGACGGUACCUGCUGAAAAAGCUGCGGCUAACUACAUGUCAUGUCCGCGGUAAUACCUACGGUGCGAGCGUUGUCCGGAAUUAUUGUCCGUAUGCAUCCCGUAAGCGGUUUGUCUCGUCUGCUUGUGAAAACUCGAGGCUCAUUCUCUUGACUGCAGUGGGUACGGGCAGACUAGAGUGCGGUAGGGGGAGAUUGGAAUUCCUGGUGUAGCGGUGGAAUGAGCAGAUCUCAGGAGGAACACCGAUGGUCGAAGGCAGAUCUCUGGGCCGUUACUGUCAGUGAGGAGCGAAAGCGUGGGGAGCGAACAGGAUUAGAUACUUUCUUAGUCACACGCAGUAAACGUUGGGAACUAGAUGUAGGGUCCAUUCCAUGGUUUGUGUGUAGCAGCUACAGCAUUCAGUUACCCGCCUGGGGAGUACGGCCGCAAGGCUCAUCCUCAAAGGAAUUGACGGGGGGCCGCACAAGCGGCCGAGCAUUCCGGAUUAAUUCGAUGCAACGCGAAGAACCUUACCAAGGCUUGACAUGCACCUGAAAAGGCUGGAAACAGUCUCCUCGCAAGACAGGUGCACAGGUGGUGCAUGGUUGUCGUCAUCUCAACAGAUGAGAUGGAUCCGAAAACCUUGCAACGACCGCAACCGUUGUUCCAUCUGACCAUCGUGCUAUGGCGAGGAUUCCUUGGAGACUCCCGGGGUCAGAUUGGAGGAAGGGGGUCAGGACCUCAAAUCCUCAUCCCCCUCUCAUGUUGGGUUUCCAUCGUGGCCCAAUUAGCGCUUCAAAGCGCCACGUUGCUAUAAGGCGGAGGGAAUCUCAAACAGCCGCUGUCGAUUCGGUUUGUCGUAGGUAACUCGUCCUCAAGAAGUGGGAGUUGGUAGUAAUCGCAGAUCAGCAGCGGUGCGGUGCAUACGCUGCCCGGCCUUGUCCACUCCGCCCGUCAAGUCAUGAAAGUACAUCACACCGCAAGCCGGUGGCCCAACCUCGUGGAGGGAGCCGUCGAAGGUGGGAUCGGUAAUUACGUGU